AACGAACGCUGGCGGCAGGCCUAACACAUGCAAGUCGAACGCCCCGCAAGGGGAGUGGCAGACGGGUGAGUAACGCGUGGGAACCUUCCCUAUAGUACGGAAUAUACCAGGGAAACUUGGAGCAAUACCGUAUACGCCCGAAAGGGGAAAGAUUUAUCGCUAUAGGAUGGGCCCGCGUUGGAUUAGCUAGUUGGUGAGGUAAUGGCUCACCAAGGCGACGAUCCAUAGCUGGUCUGAGAGGAUGAUCAGCCACACUGGGACUGAGACACGGCCCAGACUCCUACGGGAGGCAGCAGUGGGGAAUAUUGGGCAAUGGGCGAAAGCCUGACCCAGCCAUGCCGCGUGAGUGACGAAGGCCUUAGGGUUGUAAAGCUCUUUUGGCGGGGACGAUAAUGACGGUACCCGCAGAAUAAGCCCCGGCUAACUUCGUGCCAGCCGCCGCAGUAAGAC
rnacentral:rRNA from 1 species